rnacentral:rRNA from 1 species
CCUACGGGAGGCUGCAGUGGGGAAUAUUGGACAAUGGGGGGAACCCUGAUCCAGCCAUGCCGCGUGUGUGAAGAAGGCCCUCGGGUUGUAAAGCACUUUCAGUGAGGAAGAACGCCUGGUGGUUAAUACCCAUCAGGAAAGACAUCACUCACAGAAGAAGCACCGGCUAACUCCGUGCCAGCAGCCGCGGUAAUACGGAGGGUGCGAGCGUUAAUCGGAAUUACUGGGCGUAAAGCGCGCGUAGGUGGCUUGAUAAGCCGGUUGUGAAAGCCCCGGGCUCAACCUGGGAACGGCAUCCGGACCUGUCAAGCUAGAGUGCAGGAGAGGAAGGUAGAAUUCCCGGUGUAGCGGUGAAAUGCGUAGAGUUCGGGAGGAAUACCAGUGGCGAAGGCGGCCUUCUGGACUGACACUGACACUGAGGUGCGAAAGCGUGGGUAGCAAACAGGAUUAGAUACCCGUGUAGUC